GAUGAACGCUGGCGGCGUGCCUAAUACAUGCAAGUCGAGCGAAUGGAUUAAGAGCUUGCUCUUAUGAAGUUAGCGGCGGACGGGUGAGUAACACGUGGGUAACCUGCCCAUAAGACUGGGAUAACUCCGGGAAACCGGGGCUAAUACCGGAUAACAUUUUGAACCGCACGGUUCGAAAUUGAAAGGCGGCUUCGGCUGUCACUUAUGGAUGGACCCGCGUCGCAUUAGCUAGUUGGUGAGGUAACGGCUCACCAAGGCAACGAUGCGUAGCCGACCGGAGAGGGUGAUCGGCAACACUGGGACUGAGACACGGCCCAGACUCCUACGGGAGGCAGCAGUAGGGAAUCUUCCGCAAUGGACGAAAGUCUGACGGAGCAACGCCGCGUGAGUGAUGAAGGCUUUCGGGUCGUAAAACUCUGUUGUUAGGGAAGAACAAGUGCUAGUUGAAUAAGCUGGCACCUUGACGGUACCUAACCAGAAAGCCACGGCUAACUACGUGCCAGCCGCCGCGGUAA
rnacentral:rRNA from 1 species